rnacentral:rRNA from 1 species
UCCGUAGGUGAACCUGCGGAAGGAUCAUUACAGAAAUAGGAGAAGGUUGCUUAACUGCAAUCCUUUUCUUUCUACACAUGUGUUUUUCUUUUUUUUGAAAACUUUGCUUUGGUGGGCCCACGGCCUGCCAGAGAUUAAACUCAACCAAAUUUUUAUUUAAUUGUCAACUUGAUUAACUAAUAGGCAAAACUUUCAACAACGGAUCUCUUGGUUCUCGCAUCGAUGAAGAACGCAGCGAAAUGCGAUAAGUAAUAUGAAUUGCAGAUAUUCGUGAAUCAUCGAAUCUUUGAACGCACAUUGCGCCCUUUGGUAUUCCAAAGGGCAUGCCUGUUUGAGCGUCAUUUCUCCCUCAAACCUUCGGGUUUGGUGUAGAGCGAUACGCUGGGUUUGCUUGAAAGAAAGGCGGAGUAUAAACUAAUGGAUAGGUUUUUUUUUUCCACUCAUUGGUACAAACUCCAAACAUUCUUCCAAAUUCGACCUCAAAUCAGGUAGGACUAUCCGCUGAACUUAAGCAUAUCAAUAAGCGGAGGA